AUGACACGCAAGGUGGCACGGGCGGUUCCCGCGGGGGGGAGGUGGGUGGUGGUGGGGGGCAGGGGUGGUAGCAAGAGGUUGCGGGGCGAUGGUGGAAGGUUUAACGGGACCGAUUUCUGGAACAUUCGGGACUGCGGCACCCUACGGCCAGACCGAGAUUUGGGUCUGCGCAGGCGACGAUGGGUGGUCCGACGGGCUUCAGGACUUGAUGGCGUAACCCCCUUCUUUCCCCACGUACAGGUCCGGCUCUUUCUCCGAGUUUAUUUCCUGUAUUGCUUACGACAACGCUGCGAGGAGCGUCCCAUGGCUGCUGCAGUUGGUGGAUUAACAAACCUCAGUUACCCUGGUCACCUUCCUCCCAGGGGAGGAGGAGGAGGUGGGAUGGUUGUAGCACCUUCAGAGCAGCGUGAGCUCCAGAACGCAGAAUCGAGAACUCAGAGGAGUUGA
rnacentral:lncRNA from 1 species